ensembl:lncRNA
ACAGACAUUCAGUCUGUUGCAGACAUAAAAGGCAUUGGAGGCUCCUCUCUGAUCUCUCGGAUCCCUCACUCUGGGGGAAGCCGGCUGCCAAGUUGUAAGGACAUUCAACAGUCUAUGAAGCAGCCCACAGGGGGAAGAAGUGAGGCCUCCUCCCGACAGCCAUGUGAAGGAGCCAUCUUGAAAGAAGGUCCUCCUGCCCCAGUCAAGCUUUCAGAUGACUGCAGCCCCAGCCAACAUCAUGACUACAACUCAGGAGAGACCCUGAUCCAGAACCACCGACUCCUGAAUUCCUGACCCACAGAAAAUGUUGGAAAGGAGGCAAGAUGCGAGAUGAGGGGACCAGAGAGCAGACCACUGCAGCAAUCCAGGGGAGAAAUUAUGACAACUUGGACUAAGACAGGGCCUCUGUGAACAUGACAUGCCUAUUACUGCUUGGAGACGUGACUGAACAGGAGACUGGAGUCUCUUCUGUGUGCACACAAACUUAUUUAUGCUCGGUAUUGGCUGGCUGGCUGGGAGCAUGGGACCUCAGGGAGGGCUGAGAGGUGGAAGGUAAGAUCCUAAGAGUGACUCUAUGUCAGGACCCUGGCCAGCAGCCCCUGCCACCACCAGAAACCAAGCUUGUAAAGCAAUGAAAAUUUGGAUCCUGGAGGGAACUCCAAGGGAAACUGAGUCCAAGAGGCCUCAUUUGGGAGGUGAGGACAAUAAUGGCUCUUUCCAUGCACCCUCAUUCCCAAAAGAUGACCCUUUCUCUGUCCAGGACAGGCGAAUCUAUAGAGUCAGAAAGCAGAUUAGUGGUUGCCUGUGGCUGGAGUUGGGGGUUGGGGUAUAAGAUGGUGACUGCUAAAGAGUAUAGAGUUUCUUUUUCAUGUGAUAAAAAUGUUCUAAAAUCGACUGUGGUAAUGACUAUACAUAUCUAUGAACAUACUAAAAAGCAUUGAACUAUAUGCUUUAAAUGGGUGAAUUCUAUGGUAUGUGAAUUAUAUUUCAGUAAAGCUGUUUUUAAAAAAGAUGACCUUUUCUCACCCUUAAUAGAGAAUAUAGAUGCAUUGGAUGGAAAUGCUGCUUGACAUUAUAUCAUAUAUUUAUUGGAUUGUUAUUUACCCACCUCAGCUAAACUGUUAGCUUCAUGAAGACAGAAACUUUGUUUCAUUCAUCACUGGUUCUCCGGAGCCCAAAAUAGAGCCUGAUAGAGCAGGUGCUUGAAAAAGAUUCUAUGAAUGAAUGAAUGAAUGAAUGAACAAAUGAACAUCCUGGCCAAAUCCUCAAGCUUACCAGCAUCUGAAGCAAAUCUUCUCCUUGUUCCAAUGGGAGAAGUGUUCCUCCUCCUUUCAAAGAUCCAUAGAGGUAAUAUCGUCUUACACAAGAGUAGCUUGGAAGAAGGUGCCACAAGCAACCUGUGAUAUCGGCGUCCAUGCAGAAGUCCGAUUCCCAGAAGCCUCCGUACCCACCCAUCACACCAGUACACUCCUCUUCCAUUUGAAGCGAUCCCCUUUAAACUAGCUGAGUCAGCACCAAUUAACACUCAUUAAUCCAAUUUUCGUGAAAUUGGACAAGCAGACACUGAAGUUCACAGAGCAGAACAAAUUAGUGGAAACCAGAGUAAAAUACGUCUUCCCGACUUAGCUGCUAAGGUAUAAGGGGCCCUUCCAGGGGGAAUUGGAAAGCAGGUAGCAGUUCAAGGCCACCUUGUAUGCAGGCUGCUGUCUUGCUAUCAUCAGAGGCUUGAGAAAUGGGAGGUCGUGUGAUAACAGGCCCUCUCAGGGUUUUGCGGAGCCCGAGCUCAAUGAAUGAAUCAUGGUGCCCCUUCUGGCUGGAUCAUUCCUGAUGCCUUCCACACGCAUACAUCUGCUCUCUCAACCUUGAGCUGUGAGCAGGGAUGGACUCUUCCAUCUAACAGGUGAGGGCACGAAGGCAAAAGGUAUCUACUGACUCUCUUAUGGACCCAGAGUUAAUGAAGAAGUCCUAACUGGCUAAGCUCGUGAAUUUGGAAGUCAGACCCAAGUUUGAAUACUAGCUUUUCUGGUUCCUCUCUGACCUUAGGCUGAUUACUUGUCUCCAAGUCUCAGUUUCCUCAUCUACAAAUUAAGCAGCAUCCACAAAUUAAAUUCUUGGUUUUAUACAAGGUAAUGCAUAGAAAGCAUUUCUCACAGAGCCUGGCAAAAAGUAUGUUCUCAAUAAAUGUUAGCUUAAAAAAAACCAUUCAGGUUCUAUCAUACAUUUUAUGAAAAACUCCCAUGCAGCAUGUUCUGCUGAUAAAUAACCAUCUCAAACCUUUGCUUCCCUUCCUGAAUUCCUCCUGAAUGAACCUGAGCUCGGACAGUAAGAUCUGCAUUAAAUCCACGUUGCAUACGUCCAUUCAUUCAAUGCAGCUUUGUUGAGCACCUGCUGUAUACCAGGCCCUGAGCUAGGUGUUAGUGAUACAAAAAUUAAAGGUUCUAUGCCUACCCUCAAGGGGCUUGUAACAUAGGAUGAUAUAGGAUAAAGGAGUGAGUAGGAAGGGGUAAGAGAGUGUCAAGGAAUACAAUUUCCUGAUGCUUUGACCUGCCCCAAUGCCUCAUGGAUUGCAAAUUCCUUAGUCUGCCCCAUCCUCAACCCGUCUCCCAUGGUUCCAGAAAAGCUCAUAUUGGUCUCAUCCUGCAGACAAAAGGCUUUGUAAUUGAGGAGUGGCUGAACUACUAUUUAUUUAGUCCCCCAACUAAUAUUUAUUUAGCACAUACUAUGAGUCAGGCCAUAAACUGGACACUGGGCUUGAAACAGUAAUAAAACAGACAUGGUCCCAUUCCUUGUGGCACUCAGAGUCUGACAUGGAAGGCGGCUGUUAAUAUAAUAAGCAUGUAAAUAAAUGUAAAAUUGUAACUGGGAAGCAGUCAUUGAGAGUAUAUAAUGCAAUAAGAAUGUGUAAUAGGAGGAUUGGAACUAGUCGGGGAGGUAAGAGAAGUCUUCAUGAGAAAAUGAUGCUGAAACUCAGAUGUGAUGUACGAUGAGGGAUUAACUGGCAUGAAAGGAGGGAAGAGCUUCUAGCGUGAAGACAACAGCAUGAGCAAAGGCCCUAUGAUGAGGAGGGCCCUGCAUGCAUGAGAAGCAGAAAGGACGCAGCAGCUAGACCACAGAUGUGGGAGAUUGUGGGAGAUGAUGCUAGAGUGCUGGGUAGAAACCAGGCUGCGGCAGACUCAGAAGCCUUGUUGGGAUUCUUACCCUCAGAACAAUGGGAUGCCAGAGAAGAUUUGCAAGGAUUGAGGGGCCUGAAAGGAGAGCAUGAUGCAAUGGUAUUUGGGUUUUGAGGCGUGAAUGAGCAAAGAAGCCUGGUGGGGCAAGAGUGGAGUGGACACAGAAGAGAGCAGUUGGUGUUGAAGUUGGAGAGGAAGCUAGAUCCUGCACAACCCUGUAGCCUGGGGCAAGAGUGGAGUGGACACAGAAGAGAGCAGUUGGUGUUGAAGUUGGAGAGGAAGCUAGAUCCUGCACAACCCUGUAGCCUGGGGCCAGGAGAUUGAAUCUUAGUCUAAGUUCAAUGGGAAGACUUUGGUCUCUGCUGGGCAAAGGAUGGAUGGAAGAGAGCAAGAGUAGGUGUGAAGUGAACAGUUACUAAGCUAUUGUGAUAGUCCAGAUAGGAAUGAUGAUAGCUGGAACAGGAUGCAGGGGAAGGGAAAAGAGGAUGCAGUGAGAAUGGAGAGAAAUGGUAAGAUUCAAG